rnacentral:rRNA from 1 species
UGCAGUCGNACGGUAGCACAGAGAGCUUGCUCUCGGGUGACGAGUGGCGGACGGGUGAGUAAUGUCUGGGAAACUGCCUGAUGGAGGGGGAUAACUACUGGAAACGGURGCUAAUACCGCAUAACGUCGCAAGACCAAAGAGGGGGACCUUCGGGCCUCUUGCCAUCAGAUGUGCCCAGAUGGGAUUAGCUAGUAGGUGGGGUAAYGGCUCACCUAGGCGACGAUCCCUAGCUGGUCUGAGAGGAUGACCAGCCACACUGGAACUGAGACACGGUCCAGACUCCUACGGGAGGCAGCAGUGGGGAAUAUUGCACAAUGGGCGCAAGCCUGAUGCAGCCAUGCCGCGUGUAUGAAGAAGGCCUUCGGGUUGUAAAGUACUUUCAGCGGGGAGGAAGGUGUUGUGGUUAAUAACCGCRKCAAUUGACGUUACCCGCAGAAGAARCACCGGCUAACUCCGUGCCAGCAGCCGCGGUAAUACGGAGGGUGCAAGCGUUAAUCGGAAUUACUGGGCGUAAAGCGCACGCAGGCGGUCUGUCAAGUCRGAUGUGAAAUCCCCGGGCUCAACCUGGGAACUGCAUUYGAAACUGGCAGGCUAGAGUCUUGUAGAGGGGGGUAGAAUUCCAGGUGUAGCGGUGAAAUGCGUAGAGAUCUGGAGGAAUACCGGUGGCGAAGGCGGCCCCCUGGACAAAGACUGACGCUCAGGUGCGAAAGCGUGGGGAGCAAACAGGAUUAUAUACUCUGGUAGUCCACGCCGUAUACGAUGUCGACUUGGAGGUUGUGCCCUUGAGGCGUGGCUUCUGGAGCUAACG